rnacentral:rRNA from 1 species
GACUACUGGGGUAUCUAAUCCCGUUUGCUCCCCUAGCUUUCGCACCUCAGCGUCAGUUGUGGACCAGAGAGCCGCCUUCGCCACCGGUGUUCCUCCUGAUAUCUACGCAUUUCACCGCUCCACCAGGAGUUCCGCUCUCCCCUACCACACUCGAGCAUCGCAGUCUGCCAGGCAGUUCCACGGGUGAGCCGUGGGAUUUCACCAGACACUUACGAUGCCGCCUACGUGCUCUUUAAGCCCAGUAAUUCCGAACAACGUUUGCACUCUCUGUAUUACCGCGGCUGCUGGCACAGAGUUAGCCAGUGCUUCCUCUCGAGCUUACGUCAAAGUCUACCACUGUUCGUGGCAUACCCUUCUUAACUCGUGACAGGAGUUUACAACCCGAAGGCCUUCGUCCUCCACGCGGCGUCGCUCCGUCAGGCUUUCGCCCAUUGCGGAAGAUUCUCGACUGCAGCCACCCGUAGG